AGUUUUUAGAGAUGUUAGAGAUAUCGUUAAAUCAAAAUAUUCUUUUUAUUGGUGCGAUAUAAUUUAUUUUUAAGAAUUUUUGGAAGAAUUGAAAGGAAUUAAGAAGAGAGUAAUAUGUACAACCGGUGAAAGAGAUUUAAGAUAAAAGAAAGAAAGAAAUUUAAAAACGAUAAAAAAGAUGAUUUAGAAUGAUACUUUGAUACUUGUCUUUUGAAGAAAAAUUGAAGAAAAAUUUAUUUUUUCGGAAAUCAUAUUAUACAGAAUCAAGAGAAAAUCGGUUUAUUAAACAAGUACUCUACAAUAUAUGUUAUUUAUUAAAUAUUAAAUAAUUUUAAAAUAAACAAAAGAAUGAAUCUA